AUCGACAAAAAUUUGAGCUAUGAACCAUAUUUCUGAUAUAAAAUGAAGGAACAGCAGGCACGAGCGAUUUCUCCACCUUGGCUGCACCUUAUAACCAGCUGCUCAGCCCAGCCCACACCAGGACAGAGAGAAUCACCGCGGGCCGGGCCCAGGCCUCCGUGCGGGUAACCCCCAGUGCAAUGAUGGCUGACUACCACAAAGAUGACUUUCUGUGUACUGCUGGGCUAGAUCUACCAAGCAAAGAAACUGAGCACAUUAAAU